rnacentral:rRNA from 1 species
UGAGGCACGAAAGCGUGGGGAGCAAACAGGAUUAGAUACCCUGGUAGUCCACGCCGUAAACGAUGAGUACUAAAUGUUGGGUAAAACCAGUGUUGAAGUUAACACAUUAAGUACUCCGCCUGAGUAGUACGUACGCAAGUAUGAAACUUAAAGGAAUUGACGGGACUCCGCACAAGCGGUGGAUCAUGUUGUUUAAUUCGAAGGUACCCGAAAAACCUCACCAGGUCUUGACAUGCUUCUGCAAAGCUGUAGAAACACAGUGGAGGUUAUCAGUUGCACAGGUGGUGCAUGGUUGUCGUCAGCUCGUGUCGUGAGAUGUUGGGUUAAGUCCCGCAACGAGCGCAACCCUUAUUGUUAGUUGCCAGCACGUAAUGGUGGGGACUUUAGCAAGACUGCCAGUGAUAAAUUGGAGGAA